rnacentral:rRNA from 1 species
GGACCCGCACAAGCGGUGGAGCAUGUGGUUUAAUUCGAUGCAACGCGAAAAACCUUACCUACUCUUGACAUACUUGGGAGCUCUUGUAAUGAGAGUGUGCCUUAUGGAACCAAGAUACAGGUGCUGCAUGGCUGUCGUCAGCUCGUGUCGUGAGAUGUUCCGUUAAGUCCGGCAACGAGCGCAACCCUUACCCUUAUUUGCCAGCGGUUCGGCCGGGAACUAUAAGGGGACUGCCGGUGAUAAACCGGAGGAAGGUGAGGACGACGUCAAGUCAUCAUGGCCCUUACGAGUAGGGCUACACACGUGCUACAAUGGGAAGUACAGAGGGACGCCAAAGCGCGAGCUGGAGCUAAUCUCAUAAAACUUUCGUAGUCCGGAUUGCAGUCUGCAACUCGACUGCAUGAAGUCGGAAUC